GGGAUCUCCAAUGAGAGGGCUGGGAAGUGUGGAUCCUGGCUCAACCCUUCCGGUCACUCAGUGCAUUGCAUUGCAUGCACCUGAGCUCGUUGGGCUGGCCCUGCCUUCCCACCAGGUGUUCCAUCACUGGCUUGGGCCGUGACUUAGCAUUUCUGCUACAGACAUGAAAUGUAAAAGUUUGGCAGAAAAGAAAGUAAAAUAAAGCCUUACUAGAAGAUAGGAGAGCACUGUUGUGGAGAGCUGAACAAGGUGUGAUGUGGAAGAAGUUUGUUGGUGUGAUCUGCCCUUUUACUGAUAUAUAUACUCAGGCAAAUAUCUUGAGUAGCAUGGAUAACUGUAAUGAUAAUUAUUUAAAAACCUAGCACAAAAAUAUUACAAAACACUAGUCUUUUAUUUUUGUAAAGAAAACAACAAGUCGGCGAGAGUACAAACCUGAUAUUAUAGGGUAUUAAAAAACAGCCAUUAAGACAUUUUGCCCUGGAAAUUGGUAUUUUCGGAGAUGGAAAUUAUAGUCCUGUGCUUCCUGCCAACAGUCUGUAGGCAACAAGGUUUUUCUUUUCAACUGUUAAUUUAUUUUUCUCUAAAGAAUGUGUGUACAUGAGUUAACCAAGCUUGCCCCAUACCUGCUUUUUUGAGCAGAACUAUCUUUCUAGUAGUGCUCUAUAGGAGCAAAGCUCCCUCCCACUUCACAGAAGAUGGCACCAUUCAGAAAGAGUUGUUUCAGAACAUACCUGGUUUAAUGAUAGGAUCAGUGAACACAGCAGUGUUUUCUUGGCAACAGGUUGAAAAGCUUGCAGCUAAACAGUUUCUUUGGAACAGUUUAUUGGCAUUCCAUCUCUGCAUUAGAAACUUGGAUUUCACUUCUUAUUUUGUUUUUCUGUUCCCCUGGUUCAUUUCCUCUAUCAUUUUUUUCCUAAUGAUACAUAAAAAUAACAUGCUGCGUUCUUUGUCCUGAGCAGAGAAUUAACUGUGUUGCUCUUUGAAUUUGUAAGGAGGCAGAUUUGGUAAGAAUUCUAGUUAUAGGUAUACAUUAUCCAAUAAUGAAAAAGGUAGCUAAAUGAAAAUCAUCAACAGCAUAGGUGGAAAGGAAACAAUUUAAAGAGUUUCAGCAGUGCACCAUGCCUUGGUGAGAAGUGGAAGCAGACCUUUAGAGAUGCAUCCUGGACACUCCUUUUGCCCCCCUUGGUGAAAGAAGGAUGGGAUGCUGCCAGGACAGCCACAGUUUCUGCAACACAAAGCUGAAAUUACAAGAUUGUUGUCGUAAGAAAGCAGAAACAGUGUAUGGCACUCCGUGCCCUGCAGUGCUGCCGUUCUUCCGUUGUUUUUACAAACAUUGCUACCUUUCUAGGCAGCCAGGGCUGCUAAUUUCUUCUCAUUACAACUAUAUGAAAAAGAAGUGAGAGAUACCUCUAGUACACCAAUAUUAAUAUGGUGAAUAAUUAAGCCAUCAAGAAAACUGUAUAUGUUUUCAAAGAAGCCAAGCACCUGCACACGGACAAUUUCUGUCUUAUAGCUGUGUUUGAGAAUAGUGAGAAUGGGGAAAAAAAGCCUUUGCUGUAUCUCCUUCAAGACAGACAGGAGUGUGUUUAUUUUCACCAAAUAUCCAUACACAUAUGACACUCUCUCAGAAAUGGACAGUUGCUGGAAGAGUAACACCUUUUUAUUCCUUAUGAUAUAUGUCCCGCACGUGCAUCUCCUGUAUGUGUGCAAAUACAGGAGGAAGGAAGUCCUGGAAGACUUGGGAGCUCUCAGUGGGAAACCAAGGCAAAGGGCACAGUUCUCAUACAAAUGGGCAAAGGUAUCUACAUUCCACAGUGCCAAGCAACCAUCAAAUCCUGAAGAGAUUCCUAAUCCUUAUUCUUGUCCUUCUUCAGGCAUCUGGGCCUCAUUGAAGUCUUGCAAAUAAUUAAGAAUAUUAGACCUCUGGUUACUGAUCAUCUUGCAGAAGUAUGUAUUUCAUCUAUCUGUCCUGGAUUUCUUUUUGCUUCUACCCCAUAUUGUGAGACAGGAUAUUACAAUAAGUUCUUCAUAUUUCUUUGUCAGUGUAACAACAUUCUCCAGGCAAAAUGUGUCACACUUUUCUCCAUCGGAUUGUUAUUUCUCUAGAGCCAUAAAAGUUGGCAUACCAUAAGUGCCAGUGGUGCUUAAAAGCCUGUCUUGAUGGGGAAAUGGAUUGCAAAAAUAGUAUUUCCUUACUUUUGUAAUGAAAAAAAAAGGAACAGUUUUGUAAAAUAGCUGUUCAGUGAAAUACACAAAAAUGCCAUUAGUAUGAAGGAUAAAAGUUCUCCUGCAAUGCAGGAAGAGACCCUUUUUCGUUGUGCUUUUAUUAUUUGUAAUUAAUGUGCUCACCUCAGAUUUCUGCCAACAGCCCAGCGCAAAAUGAAUCUCUGUGCAUUCUCUCUUUGUUUCUCCUUGUUCUAUCAUGCUGUGUACCAUUAUGAGAAUGUAAGGGAAUAUAUGUAUAUAUAUAUAUGGCAGGAUCUCUAAUCACAUAUUUUUUGCUAAUUUUAGUUCAAAUACAGAGUUAGUGACAAUGUCAAUACAAACACAGUCUGUUUCAAGGUGUGUAUACCCGUGUAACAAAAACAGUCAGGAAAGGACUUAGGGAGCACGGGACAGAGGUGUGCAGCAGAACGCACCUCUUCUGUGCCAUAUCCAAAUACGGUACCUAAUUUUCAAUAGAAAAGGCAAAAACAUGGAAACAUGGCCCCAGUGUCCGCAAAGUGGACACUGCACAAACAGCAGAAAAUGCUUAUUUUUCAUCUAAUGAAGUGACUAGUCAAAUUCUGCUUACUGUAUCCUGUGCGUAGCAUAGUUGCUUAUGCGUAUCAGUAUAGAAUUUAUAUUCCUCUAUCUGCACCAGCCGAAAACACAUACCACAGCCAUAGUGGUGUAGUGUGUACAAAGGAGGCUGAUUCAUUGAGGACAACAGAUAAAGUGUCCAUAGCAGUGAAAGCUCUGGUUACUGAGGCCAAAAAAUGUCUUUUUUCAGCAGAUCAAUUUGGGCACUGACGAAUUAUUUUUCAUUUUUCAGCUGCACAAAACUUUUCCUCGCAUUUCCGUCUUAUUCGAGUGAACUAAUAAGCCCCUGGUACAACUUUUGAUACUGCAUAUCAACUUGUCACGUGUGGCAGCAUUUGCCACAAGAAAAUGUUUAUCUUUUUGCCCCACUCAAAGCAAUCAGCAGAACAGAAAGCUCCUGCAGAAAGACCCUGGCAGUGGCCUGCAGCCUAACAGGACUCCAGUUUGUGCUGUUCUGUUUUUCAUUCCUAUGUCUUUUUUUAUAUGAGUAAGCACAACAUUUUCUAAACUCCAAUGCUAAAGAUUGCUAAUGAAUAGCUACAGCUUGAAGAAAAAAAAAAUCCAAAAGACAUGCAAAUUAUCCUUUGUUCUUUCCAGUUUUUCUAACACCUGAAUGCCAAACACAUACGUCAGCAUUCUGCAGAAUGACAAAACAAAGUCCCAAUCCCCUAUUGCAUUUAGAUGUGCUGGUGUGAAAAACAGAAGUGUUGUUCAGUGUUUCAUAGGUGAAACAGGAAAGUACUCUUUCCUCUUUGCUGUGAUAUUGAUAAAAAGAAGUGAGAAUAUGUCCUUGGGAUACAUAUAAAUGAUAAUGCUAUCCACUAUUACGCUGCACUUGAAAAGUUAACUUUUAAGAUAAGAUAAACUUGCUGUUACAGGUAUUGUUACAUAUGGUGCAGAAUUAACACUGACCAGGGACGUUUUCUUAGGGAUAUAGGCAAGCAGAAACACAGUGCAGCAGCUCUCCAUUUCUUGCCUGCUUGCAGGUCACUUCUGAUAAAAAAUCAACAUAACCAGACCCACCAAACAACGGUAACACUGGACUGGUGCCCUCCAGCCCCCACCACGUUCACAGAGCACUUGCUGCAGUGCCAAAGCAUUGCACAGCCCCAGCAAGGGCAGGCAUUCAUUCCCCCCUGCACUGUAUGAGCAUCUGUGUUUCAGGACACUGUACUGAGUGUCCUGCUUUUGGAGAAAAUCAAGAGACUUGAAUUCACUAAUUGGUGUAGCUUUUUCACGCAUGCAUGCCAUAGUGGGAUGUUAGCACAAGGUACGUUAUCAGUAAAUUGCAGCUGUGGCUGUCUUCUUUCUGGCAGGAGUGCCUUGAAACAGCAACCUUAUGGUUUUUUUUUUUUUUUUUUUUUUAAUUCUUGGAAGUUUCUGUUUAUUAACAGGAUAAUCAGCAAAGGAGGAGAUAGGGAUAAAGCUGGUAUGGGAAGAUAUUGUGGUUAAAGCCAGAGCGGACUUGCCCUGAGCCGCUGCCCCAAAUGACAGGAAUCAGUGUUCUGCAGGGAGCUGCUGGCUGCAACUCCUCACUGUGCCUAGCAAAGUGCAUGCAGUAGCUCACCUUGCCUCAUCCCACCGAAGGCCCUUGGCACCUCCCUGGGAUGUGGAAGUGCCUACAUGACAUACCUUAGCUCUCCUGAGCAGCUCUUCUGCGAUGCAGGUGCAGCAGUGCACUGCACUGUAUCUUGAUUCCCCUCCUUAAAUUUAUUCUCAGGACUGCUAGCUCUGAAGAAAUAUUUUUCUUGACAGUGAUGUAAUGUGAUAAACACAUUUUACAUAUGCACAUUUCAGGGAAAAUCCUAAUUUUGCUACAGUCUAAAGACUCUGACUCUAAGUAUGUGUGUAUGUAAGAAUCAGCUGUUGAAAUCUACAGGCUGCAUCUCCAGACAGUUGUAUGAAAAAUGGCUUCUGUUAAAAAACACAUUUUUUCUGAUAUUCUUAAAAGUUUAUGUGUCACAUGAGAAAAUAACAUAGAACAAAUGUAAAAUCAGAUCAGCUUUAAUGCUCAAAACUAUUGCACUGCUCUUUAUAUAGUAUUGUCACAAGCACAGUUCCCCAGAAGACUCUUAAAAAAUAAUUAGAAUCCCAGUCUUUUCCCAUUAAGUCUGUUUUAUAUAAAGGUGAUAAAAAUUGUAGCUCUGGGAGUAAUCCCUCUGCAGAUCUUUAAUACUGCAGAACAUGACAGAAUCUGUGCAGUCUCACACGUUUUUAACACAUCAGCCACAGAGUCUUUUGGAGCAUUACUUGGAAAUUAAAAGUUUACUGAACAAACACCUUUAUUCAUAAUAUUAAUAAUUUAGUUAUCUAAUACUUUGUAAGUGCUUUUGGUCAUUUUCAGAGCUGCAUAAGCCUCAAGCCAGCACCUUUCACUCACGUUAGAAGGUGCCAGGAAUCACUUUGUAAUCAACAAGCCAAAUAGAAACACAGAGGUAGUGAUAGGAACAUUUAGAAUUAAUGCAAUGUCUAGCUUUUCUACUGCUUUCUGCCUGGACACGCUACUGAAAUGCUUUUCCACGUUGGAAUGGAUAUGUAAGCAUGUUUUGACCUGUGAGCACAAUACUGUGCAACACAGCUCAUUCAGUCCUUCAAGACAGUGGUUUUCUUAUUGCAGCAUCUACCUGGGCAUCAAGGGUUUGGGGUUCUGGUCAUAACAGCUAGCUCCCCUUGUGACCUACAGGAUAUGACUUAACCUGUAAGAUUUUCCCGCUGAAAAAAUGAGAAACACUUCUUCAGGAAAACGAAGAAGAAAAAUUCCUUGGGGUUAGAACAGUAUAAAAUGGGGGAGAGGUGUGUGAAUCUAGUUUCUUUCCUACGUUACCAAGUAUUCUAAAGGCUCUUUGAAGAUAUUUGGCACUGACAAAGGGACAAAGUGAUGCAGUAUAUUCAUUAUUUCUUCUAAGCUAGUUAGUGAAGUCAAGAAUACGUUUUACACAACCCAGCCCUACAUGUGGCUACUGAAAUAAAUGCUACUAGCACUGCACAUGUGAAGUGAUGAUAUACUGUGCUGCAAUGCCCAGACAAAAACACGGUAUUUACAUUUAUGUGUUCUGCCUUUCCAUCAAGAAAACUGUGGAAAAUUGCAGAAUUUGAGUACUCUGCUGCCUACCAGGAAUAAACUGUGCCUGAGGAGGAGUGUGGACUCAGCAUCGCCCAGCAGGGCCAGCAGCAUCCCUUCCUCCUGCCCACACAAACACCUCCUGAGCAAAAAGUACACUGUCGCUGAGCACUCACAGUGUCUCUUCUAGGUUUCAUCUUCAAUUUCUUUAUUUGGGGACUGUGUGGGGAUGUGAUUUGAAUAUUGGAGUGUGCAUGCCUUUAAUCUAACUAAAAAUACUGGGCAGAUCUUUUAAUUUGAUUAAAAGCCUGAAGUAUGGUCCUAAAAGCAGUUAACAUUCUGAGUGAGGUCCACUAUAACAAAGUCAUUCAAAUCUGUGAAAAAUCUGUGUCACAUUUUUAGACACACAUACUGAAUUCUUAAGUUAAAAACACGCUCAUUGCACCAGCAGAGUGCAACUCACCCUUAUGCCAAAAUAUGUUCCUUUUGCUAGGUACCGUGCAGUUAUCAGCAUGUCCCUCCCAUUUAUGACUUAAUGACAUUCGUUUAUCAACAGGUGGUGGCAUAUCUUGCAAUUACAUUUUAAGCAACAUUAAACGCAACCAAAAAUAAGGUAAAUAAAAGAAAAUCAGUUGCUCUUUGAAAGUGUUUUUAGAGAGAAGCUGUACUUAGAAGCUAGGUCUUCAAGUAGCUCACACCAGGCCCAGCAACACAGAAGAAUACUGCAAGAGCAAUAAGGAUUUUUAGGGGCAUUAUGAUAGUGUAAUGGAAACACAUCUGCCCCCAAAAGUCCCUCAUUUUCCCUGCGGUAAAGAGCCAUGCAGGAAGUGGUGAAUUCUGUGGAACAUUGAGAAUGAAACUAUAAAGCAAUUUUUUUUUUUUGUUAAAACACUUUUCCAACAAUACUUCAGGAUUUCAGCAUUUCCUGAGCCCAGUCCAUAGGAAAACAGUAGUUUUCCAAACAAUCGCUAGCUCACACACCUGGGCUGCAUUAAUCGGUUCUGUCCAUCCACCAAAGUGAAUUCUGACAAAGUUCCCUUGAAAACACUGUUAGUACUGGAAAGCUAGGAGGAGGAACUACACAGAAUUGUAGGGCAAUUUUUGUUCUUUCACCUAUCCAGGAUUUCAAAACAAAGCAGAAUGAUCAACAGGAAUAGUUGACCUGCAUCUCUGUUUUCUAAGGAUUUGCUUCAAGUGACGGUGCAAAGUUAGGUUUGUAGGAAAAGGGAGUACAUAAUAAAGUCAUACAACUGUUACGUUUUGUUUUACAGCAUUUCAAUAUAUUUUAUGUGUAGUCAUGUGAGCAAUUUCCCAUACAUAGAGAAAGUCUGCUCAGAGUACAAACAAAUAGAGGAAUCCCCCUUUGGUUAAGACUGCAUAUUGCAUAUUUACAAAUCUCCAUAGCAAAGCAGCACACUGGAACUGUUAUGCCUAUUCAAAUCAACAAGCCUAAUGAAAAGUCUCUUUUAAAGUAAUUAACUACUACCACUACUACACACUAACUACCACUUAGUGGGCAUAUUCUUCAAUGGAUCUGUGGAGCAUAAUAUAUAGAAUACAAUAUUGUUGGGGAAAACAAACAAACAAACAAACAAAAAAAAAACAGUAACCAAUUGCUUAUAUGUUAUUUAAUAUGCCAUGCUAUGUAAUCCAUUCGGUCUUUGUUCCUGUACCCAUGUUCCAGAAACAUUACUGUGAUCUUGCCUGAAUUUGGUGUUGAUGCAGCUCCGGUGGCUUCCAGCAGCACCCAUGUGCCAGCUGCCAGGCCUUGCCUGCUUUCAAGGAGGCCUUUUGUUGCAAAAGAAAACUUUUAUAUGGACAGCAGCAACAACAAAGUAAAAACUUAGGUUCUGAUGACUCUACAGACUGAUGUUUCCAACAGAAUUUAUAGAUAACAAAUAGAAAUAUCCCAGCAGUAAAAUCACUGCAUUCUAUUACCGAUCCCGGAACAUCCUGCAGUGCCUUUUCUCAGCCUUUCCAAAAAGCGUGUACACGUGUCCUGUCGUAGAUGACAGAACACAUUUUGUCUUUCUUUAUUUCUCCCGGCCUACAAAACUGUCACUUUCAGACACGGAUCUCUUGCUCCUGCAUUAUGUCAGCUUGUAAGGAAAGGCCACGAAUCUAUUAAAACGAUUACCAGUAAAGAUGUGCACCCAGCAGCCACCGACAGGACCGGCCCGGCCCCACGGCAGAACUGCUGGCACACUCUGACAAAGGCAGAAAAGUCAAUUCUCUGUUCUUUUUUCAAUGCCUGUGCAUUUACCAAAUUCCCCAAAUGUUUGCAUCACUUGAGGAAAAAAGCAUAUUACCUUGCAAAGAGUUAUUUAGUUAUUUGCACUGAGAACAGGGCAAGCGGUGACUUAAACUCACUUAAAGUCCUCCAUUUCACCAGAAUGCUGUACUCUUAAGCUGCACGUUCUGAAGCAGCUUUAUACGUCGAAUAGAACCGCUUUUAUUCCACUUCUUCCACCACAGGUGCAGCUUCCACAUCAGAGCAGUUUUUCCUCUAAUAUUUUAAAAAAUGUUUUAAAUGUGACUGUUUUUUUUCUUUCAUAACCAGCAAAUACAAUUUUCAAGACAAAAAAAGGUGAUGAUACCUCUGUGAGAUGCAUGUGAACAGAUUUUCUUUCGGUGUGUGGAGCAGGCCUUGUGCAGGCGAGCAGUGCUGAUGCGUACAGUUAGAAUUGCGAGGGAAGAGCAAGCCAGCACAACACACCACGGCUGCCCGCAUUCCUGCCCUGGAAGAACUCCAGACAGCCUCACAGAGGGGGAUGACUGACCUCACAACCUGUACUACGGUACAGCUUGGAGCCAGGUCCCGAGUUCCCAAACUCUGGUCACUGCCACCCUCUCCUUCCCAAUGGCCGUAUUGGAGGGCAGUCACAAAACUCUUGUGGUAACUUGUGGUCAGGGCAUGUCAGAUGCUGAGGCCCUGCUUCAGAACUCAGGCCACAGAGCAAUCCUCAAGCCAUACCACCCGGUUCUGAUCUCGCUGCUUCCAGUAAUGUGUCCACAUAUUUCUAAAGUGAGCAGACAGACACCGGAUAACCCUCUCCUGCUUCACUGUGCAUAAGCUGUUUUUUAAAGCUUUGCUUCAAAAUGCUGAAAAGUCAUUCUAAAAAUGAAGUUUUAAUUUAUUUUACAUAGAAAACAACUAGUAGGGCUUUCAAUUUUAUAAAUGAUGAAUGUGAUAAAUAAUUGGAGUUGAUCUUUCUAAAUACUAUCUUUUCGAUACUUUGUGACACUUUUUAUCUCGAGAAAAAUGAAUUUUGAUUCCGAAUAUACUGCCUUCUUUUCAUCUUCCCUAAAUUCCUUCUUGCUUUUCAAACAAAUGGAUCCUGGCUGUCCCAUUGCUGAUGCUGGGCACUGCGGGACGCUCCAGGAGCAGUGGUGCUGGGGCCACCCCCACCAUGCACAGAAGCCCUGAGGAGAUCACCACAGCAAAGAUCACAUUUUUGCAGGAUAAAUGUUUAGGGUAUCAAUCAAGGCUUUUUCUAAUUGUGAUUAAUUUGGUUAACACGUAUAAGGUAAAUAUACAUUUAAAGCUUAACAGCUACAUGUGAUAUCCAUCACAGUAGAAACUGUCCAUUUUACUGCACACGAGAGAAACAGGGGCUCAUUAUGUAGGCUUAGUGAUGGGAAAGAAGGUGAUGAACAAUUUUGGGUGAGAAAAGCCUACAGAACUAUCGCUAUGAUCUUUAAGAGUGCUCAGUAGCCACUUAUGGUCAUACACACUUUAUAACUGUGUUAAUUGCACUUGAAUGAGUACAUGUGCAUUUUCUUUAUCAUCAGUAGAGAACGAGAUAGAAUCUAUCUGGAAAAAAAAAUCAAAUCUAGCUGUUUAACAAAAUGUGAAGCACGCCUCACUGAAACAGUACAAAAAGACAUGCUUCAAUUGAAGAGCCUUGAGGAAAAAGUCCAUGAGCAGCAGAGCAGAGCUGAUCUCUUGUUUCCUUGAGAGGUUUCCUUGAGAGCCAGACCUUCCAAUCAGCCUGCUUUCCAGUACCUGAUUCUCUGCUCUUCUGUUCUUGGACUACUGGCAGUGAGUCCACAGGAGCCAAACAAACCUGAGUCUCACAACUUGUGACACUGGACACGUCUGCAGUGUACUCACAAACUAAGCACUAUAAAUCCAAAAUAAAAAUAAACCAACAGCUUAAUCAGUUCCUGAAAACUUAACCUUCUGAAAAACGCUGCUCUGGAACAGUAUUACUCCACGCAGGACAGGAGCUAAAAAGCAUACAAGUAGCACAAUGGUGACCUUAGCUCUCCCAAGUCAGAUUUCAGUCUUGAACAAGCGAGUAAUGUGUUGCACGGAGGUUUUGCUAUGUCCUAUUUCCUAUGUGUAGCCAUUAUAUAGCUAUACAAUGUGAAAGAGCAGAAUUCCAUGGAAAAAUAUCAGUAAUUCAGCACAGUAUCAAUUUGCUUCAACAUACAGAUCCUGCAUAUCAUCACCUGAUAUGUCCCAAACCAACACCUUAUUUUUUUAACCCUGCACUGCUGCGUAACUUCAGCUGAAUUGCCACGCUUGUCUGAAGUGCUCACAUGGACGCAGUUUGAGUAGGUCAGUGCUGGAAGUGCCUCUGCCUGCAAGCUUAGUGUGACAGCUGCAUCCAGGUGUCAGUCUGUAACUUCAGCAAAUAAUUAACUGCUACCGAAUGCCACAGCCACCACAGGCACACUUACAGUGACCAAGAGCGUGCUCCUGAAUCCCGUGUGCUGCAGACAUCGGCCGCCUCUCACACUGUACAAUUUAUAGUGUCCUUCAUUCUGUCAUCAAUAUACGUGUGCUACAGUUGGAGCCACAAUAAAGCUCAACUUAUCCACUAACAACCUUUAAACACCUACUAGAAUUUCAUUUAAAAGUCACCUACAAGUACAAAUUAUGCUUAGAUCCUUUAGGCUGCUGGUAUCAAAAUGUAAGCAGUAGCGUAGACUUGAAUAGCCUUACCAAGCUCAGACUUACUCGUCACAGCAUGCUAUAACAUCUUUUAUCAGUACACAAAUUAGUCAUCUUCACAUUGAUUUAAAGAUACAGACCAUGCACACGCACAUGCACACGCACACACACUGGGCACGCACUGAAGAAACAGGCUGUCUGGAGAGGGAGAGACGUGCAACUGACAUAGUUUGUCAGCAAAGGAACUGUGGAGGGGACAACAGAAAUGUUCCUUCAGGUUGGACCAUUUUCUGCGGGUUUAAGCUGUCUCUCUUUGCUAGAAAUAUCUUUUCUUUUCUCCCAGUUCACUUAUGCCAAACAACUACUCUUUGAAACAUCACUUUGUCUUCUGCUAGGUUUUUAUGGAGAAAAAAACAGAGACCUUUUAUAAGCUACAACAGUGCUUAGAAAGCCAUUUCAUGUUUAAUUUGGGGGAUGCUAGUGUUACCUGUCCACAUUUUACUGCUGAAGGUGACGUUAAAGUUGAAAUAUUGUUGCAUAUUUAAGUGUGCAGUAGCCCGUUACUGAGUGCAGCAGUAGCUUAGUGCUAAGUUUAGUGUCCAUUGUAAGACCAGAACGCAUUGGUUUCCUUUGCAGAACAAAGUGACCACCAAAAGCGGGACUUUGUGGGCCAGUUGGAUAAAACAUAAGCUCAUCUCGCCCCCAAAACCCCGACUCUGGAACCACAGCCUUCUGAGAUUCAAUUUGUAAGUCAAGUAUCUUUGUAAGAUACACCCAAUUAAUUGAGAGAAUCACUACUUAUAAGUAGCUAACCUGGGAACUGAUAAAUGAGACUUGUAUCCAAGUCACAACACACACUGCCUUUUCUGGACGGCAGGAAUUAAUUGCUAACAGAUACCUUGCGGUCUUACUCACACGUCAGGAUUGGUUUGUUUAGUUAAGCAGCACCUUCUGUAAGCGCCCAUAAAGUCACAUUGAACCCACCCAGAGCAGCAGAUUUACCAGACCCAGCAUCCAAAGUAUCUAUUCUUAUCUUUCCAAAGGAUCAGCUUGUGUGUCUGUUCUUCUGUAUCGCAGACUAAAGCAGAACCGUUGCAGGAGGUGUCUGCCCUGACUCCUGCUGGGUUACAGCUGCGGCCCUCCACAAGGGGCUUCACGCGACCCGAGCGCGGCCGUUCCCUGCUGACAGCGGCAGGUCGAGCGCUCCGCUGGGUAUCUGCAUCGCACAGCCCUCAGCACUGCGUUCCUCCACAACUUCUUUAAGGGAUGAGGAGAGCUCUGCAUACAAAGGGAACGUAUUUUCUGAAUCCUCCGUUUAUAAUUCCUACAGGUUUUCUAAAUAAAUACCGAGUUUAAAAGCAUUAUAGUUUACACUUGGCGGCCGAAGUAGGUAAAUGCUGUCAGUUACGUUAAAGAAACGAAUUACUGUGCUUGAAAAGCCACUACUACGUUUAUGCUACUUUUGGAAAUCCAAAUCUGGAGCCAAGGAAUGCUGUGCUAGCCGGACUGCAUGCUCAGCAAACACAUCUCGAGAGAAAAACGCGAAGUAGAUUGCAGACAUUCCGACUAAGCGGUACGGAUAAACGCGGGCCUGCAGCAACAGCAACGGACGGAUUCG
rnacentral:lncRNA from 1 species